CAGCCGCCGCGGUAAUACGUAGGUGGCAAGCGUCGUCCGGAAUUAUUGGGCGUAAAGGGCUCGCAGGCGGUUUCUUAAGUCUGAUGUGAAAGCCCCCGGCUCAACCGGGGAGGGUCAUUGGAAACUGGGAAACUUGAGUGCAGAAGAGGAGAGUGGAAUUCCACGCGUAGCGGUGAAAUGCGUAGAGAUGUGGAGGAACACCAGUGGCGAAGGCGACUCUCUGGUCUGUAACUGACGCUGAGGAGCGAAAGCGUGGGGAGCGAACAGGAUUAGAUACCCCGGUAGUCCCUGUCUCUUAUAC
rnacentral:rRNA from 1 species